rnacentral:rRNA from 1 species
CGCGUAGGCGGCUGGAUAAGUCAGAUGUGAAAGUCCAUGGCUCAACUGUGGAAGUGCAUUUGAAACUGUCCGGCUUGAGUAUCGGAGGGGAGUGUGGAAUUCCCGGUGUAGAGGUGAAAUUCGUAGAGAUCGGGAGGAACACCGGUGGCGAAGGCGACACUCUGGACGAAUACUGACGCUGAGGCGCGAAAGCGUGGGGAGCAAACAGGAUUAGAUACCCUGGUAGUCC